rnacentral:rRNA from 1 species
CGGGUACUUGGUAUUUGGGUGGCGCAGCUAACGCAUUAAGUUAUCCGCCUGGGGAGUACGGUCGCAAGAUUAAAACUCAAAGGAAUUGACGGAAACUCAAAGGAAUUGACGGAAACUCAAAGGAAUUGACGGAAACUCAAAGGAAUUGACGGAUACUCAAAGGAAUUGACGGAAACUCACACGAAUUGACGGAAACUACCAGGAAUCUACGGAUGCUCUAAGGAAUAUUGGGAUUCCUGGUGUAACGGUGGAAUGCGCAGAUAUCAGGAGGAACACCAAUGGCGAAGGCAGAUCUCUGGGCCGUAACUGACGCUGAGGAGCGAAAGCAUGGGGAGCGAACAGGAUUACAUACCCUGGUAGUCCAUGCCGUAAACGUUGGGAACUAGAUGUAGGGCCUGUUCCACGGGUUCUGUGUCGUAGCUAACGCAUUAAGUUCCCCGCCUGGGGAGUACGGCCGCAAGGCUAA